rnacentral:lncRNA from 1 species
AUCACGGUCCAAACCAUGUGAGUAUUCAAUCGAAGAAGUUUGGUUGUUUUCCAGAAUUGGCUCUCAAAUGCCAAAAC